AUGCAGUAUAUGUGGAGACGUAGCUAAAGCAUGUAUGAUUAGGGAGUUUAGUAUUUGGUCUUAGACCCGAAUCCUGGUGAUCUUCCCUUGGUCAGGUUGAAGUUAAGGUAACACUGAAUGGAGGACCGAACCGACUUACGUUGAAAAGUUAUCGGAUGAACUGAGGGUAGCGGAGAAAUUCCAAUCGAACCGUGUGAUAGCUGGUUCUCUCCGAAAUAGCUGUAGGGCUAGC
rnacentral:rRNA from 1 species